rnacentral:rRNA from 1 species
UACGAAGGGGGCGAGCGUUGUUCGGAUUUACUGGGCGUAAAGGGCGCGCAGGCGGCUCAUUUUGUCAGGCGUGAAAGCCCCGGGCUUAACCUGGGAACUGCGUUUGAUACGGAUGGGCUAGAGUUCGGGAGAGGAGAGUGGAAUUCCCAGUGUAGAGGUGAAAUUCGUAGAUAUUGGGAAGAACACCGGUGGCGAAGGCGGCUCUCUGGACCGAUACUGACGCUGAGGCGCGAAAGCGUGGGGGAGCAAACAGGAUUAGAAACC